GAAUCAAAUAUAAAAUUAUGGCUUACUGUAUCAAAAGCUUUUCUAAAAUCCAGAAAAAGUAUUAAAGUAUUAAUUUAAUAAAUUACUAUACUGCACUAAAUCAAUAACUGAACGAAUAUUAGAGGAAAUGUGGCGGCCUUUCAUGAAUCCACAUUGAGUUUCAUCAAUUAUCUCAUCCAAUGCAUUUUUCAUACGUUUUGCAAAAAUUGCAGCCAUUAUUUUAUAAUCAUUAUAUAGUAAUGAGAUAGGUCGCCAAUUUUCUAAUAAAAGGAUAUCUUUUUGAUAUUAAGGGAUCAAGGUGAACUUCACUUUAUGAGGCGCCGCGUAGGAUUUAAAUCAAACUUCGCUUAUGAAUACAUGCAUAAAACACGUGCAUAUACACCUAUACAUUACUCACAUAUACAUGCAUACUACUGGAUGUUCACAAAUACAUAUAUGAAAUAUAUGAAAUACACGUGCACACUAAUGUCACACCCAGGGGCUGGCUAUGCUUUGACUAAGCCACACCCCUUCUCAACUUCCACCUCGAGGAGGUCCCCAAAGCCAACCCAAUGGCCAAACAACACGAGAACAAAUGGGCUAUGGCCGGGAAGAGGUCAGGGAGCAAGGGGGCCACGGGGAUCCGGGGCGUGGGACUCGGGCCCCGGCCUGAGUCUUAGGUAUCCGUAGCGCCCUCCUUCUUCCUCCUCUUCGCUGAAUACAGCUCACGGUAAGUACUGGUUCACACAGUUCGUUCUCGAGGUGCUCACUCUCUUUCUCUUCCUCCACAGGCAACGGCUGGGACACAAAAGCACAGUUAAUUCGGCUUGGUUUUGCCCUCACCUCUUCGCUGAUUGCAGCUCACAGUAAGUACUGGUUCACACAGUUCGUUCUCUGGGUGCUCACUCUCUUUCUCUUUCUCCACAGGCAACGGCUGGGACACACAGGCACAGUUAGUUCAGCUUGGUUUUGCUCUCACCUCUUCGCUGAUUACAGCUCACAGUAAGUACUGGUUCACACAGUUCGUUCUCUGGGUGCUCACUCUCUUUCUCUUUCUCCACAGGCAACGGCUGGGACACACAGGCACAGUUAGUUCAGCUUGGUUUUGCUCUCACCUCUUCGCUGAUUACAGCUCACAGUAAGUACUGGUUCACACAGUUCGUUCUCUGGGUGCUCACUCUCUUUCUCUUUCUCCACAGGCAACGGCUGGGACACACAGGCACAGUUAGUUCAGCUUGGUUUUGCUCUCACCUCUUCGCUGAUUACAGCUCACAGUAAGUACUGGUUCACACAGUUCGUUCUCUGGGUGCUCACUCUCUUUCUCUUUCUCCACAGGCAACGGCUGGGACACACAGGCACAGUUAGUUCAGCUUGGUUUUGCUCUCACCUCUUCGCUGAUUACAGCUCACAGUAAGUACUGGUUCACACAGUUCGUUCUCUGGGUGCUCACUCUCUUUCUCUUUCUCCACAGGCAACGGCUGGGACACACAGGCACAGUUAGUUCAGCUUGGUUUUGCUCUCACCUCUUCGCUGAUUACAGCUCACAGUAAGUACUGGUUCACACAGUUCGUUCCUUGGGUGCUCACUCGCUUUCUCUUUCUCCACAGGCAGCGGCGUAAGUACAAGUUUCCUCGGUCUCUCCUCGUGUUACCCACUCUCUCUCCUUUUCUCUCCACAGGUAUCAACUUAG
ensembl:lncRNA